CGCAACCCCAGAGUUGGUCACGACUGGACCUAAUGGUCAGGGGUACCUUUACCUUUACCUAAUAAGCCAUCCUCAAGAGAGAGACCUUGUUUUCUCUUGCAUGUUUAGCCCAAAUUUCAUUAUGUCCCAAAGCACCAGGGAGUUAUCGGCAUAAGUGAUUUUUAAUGGAUGUAAAUCUCUGUCCUCGUCCCACCUGAGUUAUUGCUACUAAUGCUAUAGAAAUUACAUAGCCAGUGAUAUGGGAUUUUAGACUCAGUUACUAAGAAAUAGCUCCUGGCUACUCUGUUUCUAGUGGACAAGUGUCCACAUCAUAAAAAAAAUUAUGAGUCAUGCUGCUAUGUGAAAUGGCCCUUACUUUAUACUUUGGUAUGGUCUAAGUGCAAUGGACACUAAUGGGCAGUUGGCUAUUCCAAGCAGCUGGAAUCCAAGUCAUGCCCACCUGCUAGGGUGGGCCCGAAACAGCUUUGUCUACGAGAGUAUUGUGAGAAGAGCUGGAAGCAACAGUUUUGUAUUUGGCUGGCAGAGAGAUUACUCAAAUUUGGGAGAGAGGAGAUUCAAUGUUGAAGUCCUACCUAUUUCAAAGGAAAGCAACAGGUCUCAUCACCAGCUGACCAUGUGAGCGAACUUGAAAACAGAGUUUAUCCUUGGAUCAGAAGGCAGUCAGAGCUAUUGGGCCUACAUAGUUUCCUCAGAGGCCAGAUCAAUCCUGGGUAUAUAGGAUUUCUACUGAACUGGGGGACUAGCAAAUCAGAGGAGGAAGGUUCAGGAGAUAUCAUUCUCUAUCUCACUAGUCAUCCAUGGAG